ensembl:snoRNA
GCAUGGGUUGGAUUUAUGGCAGGCCUGUCCCCCUGGGCCUCUCAUAGUGUCCCAUGCCAGACCAAACUGUGGCUCUGAACCAUUGCCUGGCCUUUACCUGGGGGCUACUGCCACUGAAGGGGUUUCACAGAG